rnacentral:rRNA from 1 species
UACGUAGGGGGCGAGCGUUGUCCGGAUUUAUUGGGCGUAAAGAGCGUGUAGGCGGCCAGGUAGGUCUGCUGUGAAAACUCGAGGCUCAACCUCGAGACGUCGGCGGAAACCAUCUGGCUAGAGUCCGGAAGAGGAGAGUGGAAUUCCUGGUGUAGCGGUGAAAUGCGUAGAUAUCUGGAGGAACACCGGUGGCGAAGGCGGCAUCCUGGACCGGUAUUGACGCUGAGGCGCGAAGGCCAGGGGA